AGAGCGAACGCUGGCGGCAGGCCUAAAACAUGCAAGUCGAACGGACCCUUCGGGGUUAGUGGCGGACGGGUGAGUAACACGUGGGAACGUGCCUUUUGGUUCGGAACAACUCAGGGAAACUUGAGCUAAUACCGAAUGUGCCCUUCGGGGGAAAGAUUUAUCGCCAUUAGAGCGGCCCGCGUCUGAUUAGCUAGUUGGUGAGGUAAAGGCUCACCAAGGCUACGAUCAGUAGCUGGUCUGAGAGGAUGAUCAGCCACACUGGGACUGAGACACGGCCCAGACUCCUACGGGAGGCAGCAGUUAGGAAUCUUGCGCAAUGGGCGAAAGCCUGGACGCAGCCAUGCCGCGUGAAUGAUGAAGGUCUUAGGAUUGUAAAAUUCUUUCAGCGGGGACGAUAAUGACGGUACCCGCAGAAGAAGCUCCGGCUAACUUCGUGCCAGCAGCCGC
rnacentral:rRNA from 1 species